UGGGUGUGCAGAAUAUCUUGCUGCGCCCGAGGUAUCCGCGAGGGGGAAGAGCUCGUGCGGCAGCAGUUGGCCGUCUAACCGCUGCUAGAAGAGCAGCCAAGCGGGACCCAGAGGUGAGGGCCGAGCUGGCGCCUCCCCGAGGCCGACCCGGCCUGGCUGUGUGGCUCUCGCCGCUGCCCGCUGAGGAGCUGGUGCCAUGGGCCGAGGUGAAGCUUCAGGGAAGCGGGCCUGAGAGUAGUGCGCCGUGGAGGCGACUGGGCCUCAGGUCAGCGCGGCAGAGAAUGGCGCGGUGGAGCAACCCUCCUUAGCGACCCCAAGAAUUUUCUACGGGACACUGGCGAGGAAGAAAGGUCCAGUGCCUUCCCUGGCCAGGCCAUGGGCAAAUGGGGAGCUGCCAUCGGGUCUCUGGAAAUGUUCCACAGUCUCAUGGCUCAAGGCCUUCGCUUCAGACUAUACUACCAGAAGAUUGGGGAUCCAGCUGAUGCCUGCAGAAGAAAAAGCCAGAAAUUAGCAACCCAAACAUCAGCACCACCUCAGACAGAACCUGGCACUGAAGUGUCCACUUAGUGAGGACACUCAGUGUACAGUUGCGGGGUCUUGCUACACAACUUGGACUCCUAGUAA